rnacentral:rRNA from 1 species
AGGACGAACGCUGGCGGCGUGCUUAACACAUGCAAGUCGAACGAUGACGGUGGUGCUUGCACUGCCUGAUUAGUGGCGAACGGGUGAGUAACACGUGAGUAACCUGCCCCUCACUUCGGGAUAACCUCGGGAAAUCGUGGCUAAUACCGGAUAUGAACUUCUACCGCAUGGGUGGUUGUUGGAAAGAUUUAUCGGUGAGGGAUGGACUCGCGGCCUAUCAGUUUGUUGGUGAGGUAAUGGCUCACCAAGACGAUGAC